AGCGAACGCUGGCGGCAGGCCUAACACAUGCAAGUCGAGCGGGCGUAGCAAUACGUCAGCGGCAGACGGGAGAGUAACGCGCGGGAACGUGCCCUUUGGUUCGGAAUAACUCAGGGAAACUUGAGCUAAUACCGGAUAAGCCCUUCGGGAGAAAGAUUUAUUGCCAUUGGAGCGGCCCGCGUCGGAUUAGCUAGUUGGUGAGGUAAUGGCUCACCAAGGCGACGAUCCGUAGCUGGUCUGAGAGGAUGACCAGCCUCACUGGGACUGAGACACGGCCCAGACUCCUACGGGAGGCAGCAGUGGGGAAUAUUGGACAAUGGGCGCAAGCCUGAUCCAGCCAUGCCGCGUGGAUGAUGAAGGCCCUAGGGUUGUAAAGUCCUUUUGACGGGGAAGAUAAUGACGGUACCCGUAGAAUAAGCCCCGGCUAACUUCGUGCCAGCCGCCGCGGUAA
rnacentral:rRNA from 1 species